CAUCUCUUGCAUUCUUGUCAAUAAACACUCAUUUGAAUUCACGAAUCUCCAUCGACCCUGAACAAGAGCUAUUUCGGGGUUAUGUAUAAGGAACGGAAUCGACCUACGGAGAAAAUCCGGUUCGGGUCGAAAAUCGGCAUCGAAAAUGACAACGUAUUCGCAAUCUUUAACAUAAUUAUGUUUUAAUCCUUCUUUAAGUGCACCAGCUUUGUAUCCUCCUCUUGUUUCUCUAAUUUGAUACGUUAUAUUAAGUCCUUUACUUGCCCAUCUUAAACAUUCAGUUUCAACCAUAUCCUUAACAAUAGGAUCAGUAGAAUCAUCAAGAACUUGAAUCACAAGGCGAUCGGACGGCCACGAAAGGUUACACGCAGCUCCAAUGGAAAUCUUAUACACCUCUUUCUCAUUGAACAUGGGAAUUUGUACAAGAACUUUAGGAAAAUCAGCACUUCCAAUUUCCAAAUCAUCAUCAGCCAUUGGUAUCCAUUUAUACCUUUUAUCUGGUUUUUUCAUAAAAAUCUUAACAAGAACAAUGACUAUUCCCAUAUAUAAUCUUUCAACAAAUAACAUUAAUUCCAUUACUAUGCAAAUGUACACUGCUGAUUUCAACAAUGGUACUAAUAAUGGUGCUUUCAACACUUCCCACAUCAUCCCAAUUUGCCCCGCUAUGUCCGAGGCAGUUGCUUGAACAGUCGACAUAGCGGCGGCCAAAAAAAAUUAUAACAAGUUAAAUUACACUGAUAAUAUAAAAUAAUACUGCUCUGUUAUAUUUGAUGAUCGAAUUUAAUUCGGUCCGUCGAUAAAAAAAAAACAAACAGAGCAGUAUUAUGACAUUGUAGAGAGGGG
rnacentral:misc_RNA from 1 species